rnacentral:rRNA from 1 species
GUGAGGAAUAUUGCGCAAUGGAGGCAACUCUGACGCAGCCAUGCCGCGUGCAGGAAGAAGGCGCUACGCGUUGUAAACUGCUUUUAACCGGGAAGAAACCCCAGGACGUGUCCUGGGGUGACGGUACCGGAGGAAUAAGCACCGGCUAACUUCGUGCCAGCAGCCGCGGUAAUACGAAGGGUGCAAGCGUUAUCCGGAUUCAUUGGGUUUAAAGGGUGCGUAGGCGGAGCGUUAAGUCAGUGGUGAAAUCCUGCAGCUUAACUGUAGACUUGCCAUUGAUACUGGCGCUCUUGAGUGCGCUUGAAGUGGGCGGAAUGUGCCGUGUAGCGGUGAAAUGCUUAGAUAUGGCACAGAACACCAAUUGCGAAGGCAGCUCACUAAGGCGAUACUGACGCUGAGGCACGAAAGCGUGGGGAUCGAACAGGAUUAGAUACCCUUGUAGUCC